GCUUGUCUCAAAGAUUAAGCCAUGCAUGUCUAAGUACAAGCCGCUAGUUCGGCGAAACCGCGAAUGGCUCAAUAAAUCAGUUAUGGUUCCUUAGAUCCACUCCAUCCUACUUGGAUAACUGUGGUAAUUCUAGAGCUAAUACAUGCGUAAGAUCCUGACUAACGAAGGGACGUAUUUAUUAGAUACAACCGACCUCCUUCUGGAGCCUUUUGUCGACUCAUAGUAACUUCUCGAAUCGGAGGCUUGCCUCCGAUAGUUCAUUCAAAUUUCUGCCCUAUCAGCUUUCGACGGUAGUGUAGUGGACUACCGUGGCGUUAACGGGUAACGGAGAAUUAGGGUUCGAUUCCGGAGAGGGAGCCUGAGAAACGGCUACCACAUCCAAGGAAGGCAGCAGG
rnacentral:rRNA from 1 species